AUCAUUAUGCUGUUCAUAUUUUUCAGCACAGGCUGCAAUCUUUUUUUCUUUUCUUGUGGGGGAGCAAGCAAGGACAGAUUGAUGAAGGUGAAGAUUUAUUGACUUGGUCCACUGUUGAGGCACAUUGAUUUUUAGCUUGUUAAUCUUGACGGUAACACGUGAAACAAUUUGUUUUGUUUUGGUUGAUCCUUGUGUCAAUUCUGGUACUGAGGAGUGCUGAAUCCUGAGCAACAGAAGAGGAAACCACGUAUUUGGAGGUCUUUUUUUCUCCAACUGAUUCAAAUAGAUCUUCAGAGCAUCUUCCCGUUGUUAAAAGCCUGACUGAUAAUUCAUCUUCAAAUUUGUCUUCGGAGGAAGAAGAAAUUUCACGUUAUUUUAAUUUUCCAAGACUUUUUUUAGUCUCUCACUUCAAGUGAUGCCACAGAGAAAGAGGUAGUGAAAGAGCACAUCCAUCAUCUUUACAGGUAGUCAAAAAGACAGUAUCCUUUUAAAAAUCAUAGCAAGGAAAAUCAAUUCAAACAUGAUGUUUUCCAAAAGCUCACACAUCUAUAUUUAAAUAGAUUCAACCACUUUGUAUAACUGCAGAAAAUAUUUAAAUGGUAAUAAUGUAUUCAGUGCUCUACACGAUGUAGUUUCACAGUCCUUGCUCUGAGGAGCGUACACUUGACAAGACAAGAUACAGGUAAAAAGAUACAUUCAUGUAGGAAAAUGAAAGGUUAUACAACUAGGAACAAACAAUGUUGGUCACCCUGAUAGGUUGUAGGAUUGUGUUCUGUGAAUGUGACUUACAUUCUUUGUUCUUAGAUGUAUAACUUGUGAUUCUGAUAAGGAUGUGGGGUCACAGUGAAUAAAUAGAGGUUUAUUACCCCAUGCAGUAACUGAAGUUCUGUGAGAUGUGUUCCUCUAUAGGUGCUCCACUCUUGAUUGGAGAUUUUCAUGAGCAAUGUCUGUUCGGUCCAUGCACGUGCCAUUGGUAUCCUCAUGCCCUGCACCGAGGCUAUGUCAGAUUGCACAGACAAACCACUCCCUCAGUUCCUUCUGCACCACUGAGUCUCAGAAGAAACUCCAAAGCAGAGCGGAAGGAGGGUGGUAGUUGAGCACCCAUGGGGGAUACAUCUUGAAGAACUACAGUUACUGCACAGGGUGAGUAACCUCUCUUUCAUCUUUGAGUAGGGUCCCUAUGGGUGAUCCAUUCUUGGUGACUCCCAAGGACUAUUCCCAGAAGGAGGAGUGGGGGCAUUUGGAAUGGAGUCCAUCACAGAGGCAAGAACUGCCUUGCCGAAUGUAGUGUCGGACCUGGAGGCAUCAUCCAGGACAUUGUGUCUAGAGAGAAGGCAUGCAUCAAAGACCAUGUAGCGGCUCUGCAGAUCUCUGAAAUAGUGCAACGGUAGAGAUGGACUGUCAAUACUAUAGUAGCAUACUACAAUACACUUGGGAAAUCCAUUUAGAAAGUCUCUGGGUAGAAAUGGCAGAGCUGUCUCAAUCAAAACAAAGAGUCCAGUGGAUUUACGAAAUGGUUUAGUUCUAUCAAGACAGAAGGAUAAUGCUCUCCUGACAUCUAGAGUUGGAAGUAUGUGGUUUUGGAAGGUUGGAAGUAUGUGGUUUGGGAAAGAAAACUGGUAGGUAUAUGAUCUGAUUCAGAUGAAAUUCAGAAGUUACUUUAGGUAGAAACCUGAUCCUUGUAAAAUAUUGUGAAGUGGGGGAGGAGGUCCGCCAUUAAGUCCCCAAUCUCUCUGACUCUGCAGUGUGAGGUAAUAGUCACUAGGAAGGCUGUUUUACUAGAUAAAUCCAAUAAGGAGCAGGUGAACAUCAGUUCAACGAGGUUUUCUGGGGCUUUCGAGAAACAAGUUCAGGUCCCAGGCAGGGGUAGGAACCUUUAUCUAUGGGAAGACAUUCCCCAGACCUUUUAUAUAUCUUGUGGUUGUGAGGUGAGCAAACAGAGAAAAACCCUCAAUAGUAGUAUGAAAGGAUGUUAAGGCCAUCAGAUGAACCUUGAGGGAAUUAUGGGACAUCCUGAUUUAUUAAGAUAUAGCAGGUGCUUGAGGAUGAGCGGAAGCGGGGCAGAUUUGGGAGCAGCAUUGUGGAGUUCACAUCAGUGGCCAAAUCUUGUCUACUUUUGAAGGUAAGUAGUUCUGGUGGAAACUUUUCUACUAUUUAAUAGUAUGUGUUAUAUCUCACAGAGCAGGAUGACUCUAGCUCCAUGAACCAUCAAGGAAUGACCCUUCAGGCAAAGAAUGCCCAAGUUGGGAUGCAUCAGAGGACCAGAGUCCUGGGAAAGGAAAUUAGUAGUUGGGAGAUUUAUCAGAUCGAGAGCAAGAUGAAACAGGGGAGAAGCAGAGACAGGGCUGGAACUAUGCUGUAAGAAGCUUGGGGCCAGAUAUGAAAAAUAAUCUGAAUCAUACCUAGAAACUACUCACUUGAAACCCCCAGAAACCCCUUCCCCGGAGCGGGGGUGAAAGGACUUGGGAAUUCCUUCCUAUGGGGUACCCUCAAGUGCAUCUUCCUGGGCUCUCAAAGGGUUUUUUGCACUUGAGUGGUGGCAGCAUCUACCCAUCCAAG